GUAGGUGGCAAGCGUUGUCCGGAAUUAUUGGGAGUAAAGCGCGCGCAGGCGGUUCUUUAAGUCUGAUGUGAAAGCCCACGGCUCAACCGUGGAGGGUCAUUGGAAACUGGAGAACUUGAGUACAGAAGAGGAAAGCGGAAUUCCACGUGUAGCGGUGAAAUGCGUAGAGAUAUGGAGGAACACCAGUGGCGAAGGCGGCUUUCUGGUCUGUAACUGACGCUGAGGCGCGAAAGCGUGGGGAGCAAACAGGAUUAGAUACCCUGGUAGUCCACGCCGUAAACGAUGAGUGCUAAGUGUUAGGGGGUUUCCGCCCCCUUAGUGCUGCAGCUAACGCAUUAAGCACUCCGCCUGGGAGUACGGCCGCAAGGCUG
rnacentral:rRNA from 1 species